CCUACGGGUGGCAGCAGUGAGGAAUAUUGGUCAAUGGACGCAAGUCUGAACCAGCCAUGUCGCGUGCAGGAAGACGGCUCUAUGAGUUGUAAACUGCUUUUGUACGAGGGUAAACGCAGAUACGUGUAUCUGUCUGAAAGUAUCGUACGAAUAAGGAUCGGCUAACUCCGUGCCAGCAGCCGCGGUAAUACGGAGGAUUCAAGCGUUAUCCGGAUUUAUUGGGUUUAAAGGGUGCGUAGGCGGUCGGAUAAGUUAGAGGGGAAAGGCCGGGGCUCCACGUCGGAAUUGCCUGUGAGACUGGUCGGCUAGAGAGGAGUUGCGGUAGGCGGAAUGUGUGGUGUAGCGGUGAAAUGCUUAGAGAUCAUACAGAACACCGAUUGCGAAGGCAGCUUACCAGGCUGCUUCUGACGUUGAGGCACGAAAGCGUGGGGAGCAAACAGGAUUAGAGACCCUUGUAGUC
rnacentral:rRNA from 1 species